UCGUUCAAUCGGUCACAAUAACGCAGAAACAAUUGUGUCCUUGUCGCGCUCAUCAAAGUGAUCUCAAAUCGUAGCUCUUUGUAACUUCGUCAAAUAUCUAAUAUAAAACAAAACCGACAUAAAUGGAUUUGCUCCAAAGUGCCACGCGAGAAUGCUGCAGACACGGGAUCCGAUGUUUUAGAAAAAAUAAUGCGGUCCAUCGGUCAGAACUAUCGCAUCCUGGUGAUGACGAUUAUAGAAUGCCCGUAUACGAUAAACCGGGAAAAGAUUUACCAGUCUGCCGAUAUGGGGACAAAUGUCUUCGACGAAAUCCGAUUCAUUUUCAAGAAUACUCCCACCCCGAUGCUACAGCCGUACAUACACGUGCACCAUCUCCAGUACAGGAGCCAAAAGUAUCAGACUCUCCAUCGACGCCAAUGAGACAGAACUCACUAAAGUCAAAUGAAUUGGAACAUCUGGACUCGUUAGUGACACCAAUAAAGCAAUUACUUCCGGGGACUCAACCAUACAUUAGAGCAAGGAUAAUCAUUAAAAGUGACAAACACUCGUUUACUAAUGAAAAGGGAGAUGGAAUAUGUCCACGCUAGAUCUCAUUGAUGACAGUGCCGAAAUCAGACUUUCCGCUUUCGGAACAGGCGUUCAUCAGCUCUAUGAUUGUGUUGAAGUGGACAAAAUCUAUUACUUCUCUAACGUGAGGGUGAGCCGUUCGACUUGCUAACCAGGAGUAAUUCAAACUAAUCAAUACACUUUGACGUGUACUGAAACGACAAAGGUUCUACUAGAUUCCCGUGACGAUUUACCUCAUUUGUCCUUCAAUUUUGAACCUCUAUCGGCUGUGGAAAUUAAGGAAAAACACGAUGUCAUGGACGUCAUUGGAAUAUGCCGCUCAAUCGGACCAAUCGAGGACGUAACUUUGAAGAAUUUGGAACAGGGGAAGAAGCGAGAAUUGAAAUUGAUUGACCAAUCGGAUAAAGAAAUGAUUGUGACAAUUUUGGGAACGAAUGCCGAGAAUUUCGAAAGAAUUUAUACUCCGGGAUGUGUGGUCGCGUUCAAGCGCGCCAGAGUGACGCUUUAUGCUGGAAAAAGUUUAGACUCAUCGUGCCUGUCAUCGUCGACAUUUAAAAUGAAUCCGAACAUUGUAGAGGCGAUCGAGCUACGUUGUUGGUACAGCUCCAAGGACGAGCAAUCAGAACAAUAAUUUUGUUUUCUAGAGGCUAGUGUUUCUUGUCUAAGUCGUUUAAGCUUUAUAGCAUUCGCAAUGUCAGUAUUAUGACAUGUAAUUUCGUCCAAACUAAGACACUUAAUGUCAAAAUAGAAUUUAAGCUAAGAUAAAUAACGAGAAUUGAUUUUUCAAAAUCAAUAGGAAAGUUUGUGUUUUCUUGUUGAAUAAAAUGUGCUCACCUUGCUACAUUUGAGGUGAGAUCUUUUGUGAAAAAAA